rfam:Lachnospiraceae bacterium A2 genomic scaffold acPFL-supercont1.1, whole genome shotgun sequence.
CAAUAGGCUAGGGUAGCUCCCAAAAAGCGUCCUCCAACGCCUGCCUAUUGUUUUUAUAAAUUUGGAGG